ACGGGAUGAACACAAAAAGAAUACACAAUAGGUUAAGAAUUUUGAACCAAAUUUGGUUCGAAUCUCUUAUGAUCUGCUAGGCAUUUUAGGCAGUUAUUAAGUGGUACCCAAAUUAGGUAGCCAAUAAAGAGGAGGUUCCAAAUAAGGUAAAGAACUAACAAUUAAUUCCAUUGUGGGUUAGUAAUCAUAGAGAUUACGGUGAUGAUGGCGCUAAGGUUUUGAUAAGAGAAGAGGAAGUAGAUGAGAGAAGGCGUGAAUAUGAACAUCGGGCUGGGUGACAAUUAUUUAGUAUUUUGGCUGGGUAGGUUAGUUUAAAAGGGUUGGAGUAAUGUGGACUGUUGAUUUUGGGAGAUUAAUGUUCCUGAUUUGAAG
rnacentral:lncRNA from 1 species